GACAGCCGUGGCACUCACAGAGAUCUAGGACACCAGAGAGAGAGAGAGAGAGAGGAGGACGACUCACAGUUUACAACUGGAGAGUAAUAGAUUAGAAUGAUGCAACAAUGUAUUGGAAUCUGGCAAUGAUGGAUUGGAACAAUACAACACUGGAUUGGAAUCGAAGAACAAACGAUUGGAAUGUUACAACAACAGAUUGGAAUGGAUUGACAAUGCUUCAAAAUGAGAGAAAAGUCGAUGGAAAUGGUAAAACAUUGGGAAGGGGUUUCAUUGAGAUGUUGAAUUUUCUUUCUGCUACUUUUGAUCGGAAGCCACUGAAAAUCCGCAUUCUAAAGGUCCUUCGGAUUAUGCAAUUCAUUUAUUAUCCGAUUCUUGCUAUUGUUGCAGUGCCUGGUCUGGCUGGCAGAUGUGCAACCUUGGCUACCCUGGUGUCUUUUUGAGCACCCACUGACUCAGUAUCCAUUCCUCCACUGACUUCAUGUCUAUGUGGUUGAGGUUUAAUACAACGAUCCUUGCUUGCAUUUACAAACACCAUUGUUUGACCACUGGUUUCAUCACCUGUUUACGUGAGGGUAGCAUCUCUUAGAUCUUUCAUGGAAAAGCUUGAAUUGAACUUAGCCAAUUGAAGCUAAGUUUCUGUGAUUUCCAUUGUGGGGCAAAAUGUAUUGCAACAGUCAUGAACACAUCAGUUCACAGCAAGUUUUCCCUCAUUUAUAUUUUCAUUGCAUGGUCAAUUUAUGGAAUAACAAUCAUUGGAUCCACCAAAUGAACUGAACACUGAUGCAACCAUCUGUGACAGGAACGGAUGCAAAAUGCCAUUUGUACAUCUCAAUCAGUGCUCAAUAAAACUGGUAACAUAGUUCCACGCACAAACUAUAACUUCAUUGUUUGCUUUCCUCACAGCCAACGUGAUAACAAUUGUGAUCCUGUCAAAAGAAAAGUGUGGUCUCUCUCGAUGUGUCUCUCACUACCUGGUAGCCAUGGCAAUAGCGGAUCUCAUGGUCAUUAUCAUUGACCUCAUAUUGCGACGCAUUCCAUUUGCCUAUGUGGAGGAGCAUCAUUUCCUAGAAGGCAUCCCCGCAUGUAAUAUCCACGCUGUCCUGCUUUUUGCAGCCACUGACUGUUCUGUCUGGUUCACCGUCACUUUCACCUUUGAUCGAUUUGUAGCCAUUUGUUGCCCAAAUCUGAGAAGUAAAUAUUGCAAUGUGAAAACAGCAGCCGUGGUUCUGGCAACAGUGACUGGAUUGAGCUGUUUGAAGAACAUUUUCUGGUAUUUUCUGUUUACACAUCGGUAUUAUAACAGAAGCAGACACUGGUUAUGUUGGGUGAAAAAUGUACUGAAAUUUUCUCCAGUCUGGGCAGCAAUUGAGUUCUGUCAUUACACACUAACACCAGGAGUUGCCUUUAUUCUCAUUCUGCUUUUCAAUGUUUUAACGGUUAGACACAUUUCAGUGACCAGCAGAUCCCGCAGGAGGCUCCACCAUCAGAACAACAGAAAGGGCACCAAAGACCCAGUGAUGAAGAGUCGGAAGAAUUCUAUCAUUUUAUUGUUUCUUAUCUCAGGGAAUUUCAUUCUAUUAUGGUCAGUAUCAAUGGUGUAUUCCAUAAAUUGGAAAAUGAAACUUUUGGGAUAUGGGUCUCUGUAUCUGCCUCUUUUUGUAAUGGAACUGGGCUACAUGCUCCAGAUGCUGAGUUGCUGCACAAACACUGUGAUUUAUGUCAGCACACAUUCAAAGUUCAGAGAGCAUUUGAAGAAAAUUGUGCACUAUCCCUUUACUCCAAUUGUGAAAUGUAUUAAACAUUGAGUCUGA